AUACUUACCUGGCUCAGGAGACACCGUGAUCAAGUAGGCGGUUCUCCCAAGGCGAGGCCUUGCCAUUGCACUUCGGCGGGUUGACCCUUGCGAUCGGCGUUCGACCACACGUUCGUGCAUUUUUCCCUAGCGUCCAUUGGAUGAAACCCUGUGACGUC